rnacentral:pre_miRNA from 1 species
AGUAAAAAAGCCACCGAGGUUCAAACAAACUUGGAUAGUUCAAACAAACUAUCCAAGUUUGUUUGAACCUCGGUGGUUUUGUUACU